GGGUCCUUAGCUCAGUUGGUUAGAGCAUGCGGCUCAUAACCGCACGGUCGCAGGUUCGAGUCCUGCAGGACCCA
rnacentral:tRNA from 1 species